rnacentral:rRNA from 1 species
UACGUAGGGGGCAAGCGUUGUUCGGAAUUACUGGGCGUAAAGGGCGCGUAGGCGGCACAGCAAGUCGGGAGUGAAAGCCCGGGGCUCAACCCCGGAACGUCUUUCGAAACUGCUGAGCUCGAGUGCGGAAGAGGCAACUGGAAUUCCCAGUGUAGCGGUGAAAUGCGUAGAUAUUGGGAAGAACACCUGAGGCGAAGGCGGGUUGCUGGGCCGACACUGACGCUGAGGCGCGAAAGCCAGGGGAGCAA